rnacentral:rRNA from 1 species
UACGUAGGGGGCGAGCGUUGUUCGGAUUUACUGGGCGUAAAGGGCGCGUAGGCGGCGGCCCAAGUCGAGUGUGAAAGCCCCGGGCUCAACCUGGGAGGUGCGCUCGAGACUGGUCUGCUUGAGUUCGGGAGAGGAGCGUGGAAUUCCCAGUGUAGAGGUGAAAUUCGUAGAUAGUUGGGAAGAACACCGGUGGCGAAGGCGGCGCUCUGGACCGAGACUGACGCUGAGGCGCGAAAGCGUGGGGAGCAAACAGG